rnacentral:lncRNA from 1 species
AUUAAGUUCCCUCUGUAUGCAGAAUAUUGUGCAACAUGGUUAUGGGUACUACAGUGGAUGUGAGUGUGUAGACCUUGUACAAUAGAGCUUAUAGGCUAAUGAGAAGACAGGAAGAAACAACAGGAACACAUAUAGCUGGAAUGCAGAUGGGAUCUGUGCUACUUACGCUAGCCAUGGGAUGAUUAGAACAAGAUAAGAGACAUGAGGAAGACUUCUUCAAGGAGGUGCUCAAGCCAUGUUUUGGAAAAGAGAACUCAAGGUCUGGCAGGGAGAAAGGAGCAAGGGCAAGUAGAGCUGCAGCUGUCUGGCGCCACUGUAAUGCUGUCUCCUCCUCUGAGUGAGUUCAUCCUGGAAACAUUUUCUCCCAUAAGACAUGCACAGGUCUUACGUUUACAUGUUUCACUGAAAGAAAUUUGAUUCCACUGCUGGGAUGACAAGGAAGACUGAAGAAACCUAAUCCUAGGUGCUGCCACUGGGACAAACAAGAAGCACCAGACACAGUGCUGUUUUAGGGUGGGGCAGAAUUAUGCUGAGGGAAAAGUUAUUAUCACUCUUUAAGGCCAAGGAAACCACAAUUUUUAAAGAAGCUUCUAGAAAUUCUACCCAGUAGAAAAUAAAGAUAAACUUCUGUAAGGAAUUUCAUUCUUUUCAGAAUUCGCAAUCUGAAAUGUAGAAGCCCAUUCCUUCAUGGUUCUCAUAGAUAUUUAGUGUGACUGAGGGGUCAGUGGACUCAUAGCACUCAGGCCAGGCUUCUCCUGAGUCCCUUUCUUUGGCACAGAGGGAGUGAUUCACAGAUCCUCUACCCCCAAAGGCAUUGUUUCCUCAUCUCAACAAGAAUCCAGCACCCGUCAUUUUAUCAGCACACGUCACUAGCUUCUCAAGUGAGACUACUCUGAAGUGAUCUGUGUUUGAAGAAUGCCUUUCCCUUUCCCUUACGUAACUAAGAGGAUGAAAAAGGACACUCACUCCCUAUAUGAAAGCUGUGUAUUGUAAGCAGUCAUCUUGCCUGGCUGAGAACUCUAGGAUCUUUUUCUCUGCUCUCCUUUAGGCUGACACUCAUAGCCAGACCUUCUGUUUAUUAGCCCCCUGAAUCUAUUUGAAAAUAUUUUUGCUUUCAUUAUAAUAUAAGUCACAUUCUUCUUGCAUCUGCCGCUGCAUUUUCCAAAAGGGUUAUGUCAAGGGAAAUUCAACACUCACUUUUCUCAUUAUUUGCUUACCAGCUUGCUCACUCAUCAAAAUACCAGAGUUAUUUGAUACUUCAGAAGAUUAUUUCCCCCUUUAGAUGAUGUGUCAAGGGAAGGGGAGCUGGCCCCAGUAUCAGGUGACAGAAUUUUCUUCGCAUUUCUACUGUUGACUCAAUAAAUGCCCUUGGGCAAGUCAU